UGGGUGAAAUGUGUGAAGGCAUCAAAAGGUACAAACUUCCAGUUAUAAAACAAAUAAGUCAUGGGGAUGGAAAGUACAGCAUGGUGACUAGAGUUAACAAUGCAUACUGUAUUGCAUAUUCGAAAAUUGCUAAGGUGGGUAAAUCUUAAAAGUUCUGAUUACAAAAAAAAAAAUUCUAACUAUGUGUGGUGCCAGAUGUUAAUUAGACUUACUGUGGUAACAUAUCACAAUAGAUACAUAUAUCGAAUCAUUAUGUUGUAUACCUGAAACUAAUAUAACACUGUAGGUCAAUUAUACCUCAA